rnacentral:rRNA from 1 species
UACAGAGGUCUCAAGCGUUGUUCGGAUUCAUUGGGCGUAAAGGGUGCGUAGGCGGCGCGGUAAGUCGGGUGUGAAAUCUCGGAGCUUAACUCCGAAACUGCAUUCGAUACUGCCGUGAUUGAGGACUGGAGAGGGAUGCGGAAUUCCAGGUGUAGCGGUGAAAUGCGUAGAUAUCUGGAGGAACACCGGUGGCGAAGGCGGCAUCCUGGACCGACACUGACACUGAGGAGCGAAAGCCAGGGGAGCAAACGGG